AUACUACCUGUGAAGAUGCAGGUUACCCGCGACAGGACGGAAAGACCCCGUGGAGCUUUACUGCAGCCUGAUAUGGAAUUUUGGUAUCGCUUGUACAGGAUAGGUGGGAGCCUGGGAAGCCGGAGCGCCAGCUUCGGUGGAGGCGGCGGUGGGAUACCACCCUGGCGGUAUUGAAGUUCUAACCCGCACCCCUGAUCGGGGUGGGAGACAGUGUCAGGCGGGCAGUUUGACUGGGGCGGUCGCCUCCCAAAAGGUAACGGAGGCGCCCAAAGGUUCCCUCAGAAUGGUUGGAAAUCAUUCGGAGAGUGCAAAGGCACAAGGGAGCUUGACUGCGAGACGGACAGGUCGAGCAGGGACGAAAGUCGGGCUUAGUGAUCCGGUGGUUCCGCAUGGAAGGGCCAUCGCUCAACGGAUAAAAGCUACCCCGGGGAUAACAGGCUGAUCUCCCCCAAGAGUCCACAUCGACGGGGAGGUUUGGCACCUCGAUGUCGGCUCAUCGCAUCCUGGGGCUGUAGUCGGUCCCAAGGGUUGGGCUGUUCGCCCAUUAAAGCGGUACGCGAGCUGGGUUCAGAACGUCGUGAGACAGUUCGGUCCCUAUCCGUCGCGGGCGCAGGAAAUUUGAGAGGAGCUGUCCUUAGUACGAGAGGACCGGGAUGGACGCACCGCUGGUGUACCAGUUGUCCCGCCAGGGGCACCGCUGGGUAGCUAUGUGCGGACGGGAUAAGCGCUGAAAGCAUCUAAGCGUGAAGCCCCCCUCAAGAUGAGAUUUCCCACCGCGUCAGGCGGGUAAGAUCCCUCGAAGAUGACGAGGUCGAUAGGUCCGAGGUGGAAGCGUGGCGACACGUGGAGCUGACGGAUACUAAUCGAUCGAGGGCUU
rnacentral:rRNA from 1 species